rnacentral:misc_RNA from 1 species
UCCGGCUUAUCACCGGCGGUUUCUUUAGAGUGCCCAACUUAAUGUGGCAACUAAUGGCAAGGGUUGCGCUCGUUGCGGGACUUAACCCAACAUCUCACAACACGAGCUGACGACAGCCAUGCACCACCUGUGUAUCACCCUCGAAGGCGUCUUCUUUUCGGAAGCUUGCAGAUACAUGUCAAGCCCUGGUAAGGUUCUUCGCGUUGCAUCGAAUUAAGCCACAUGCUCCACCGCUUGUGCGGGCCCCCGCCAAUUCCUUUGAGUUUUAGCCUUGCGGCCGUACUCCCCAGGCGGGACACUUAUCGCGUUAGCUUCGGCACGGACAGAUUCGACUCCGCCCACACCUAGUGUCCAUCGUUUACGGCGUGGACUAC